rnacentral:rRNA from 1 species
GACGAACCGUACGAACGUUAUUCGGAAUUACUGGGCUUAAAGGGUGCGUAGGCUGCGCAGUAAGUUGGGUGUGAAAUCCCUCGGCUUAACCGAGGAACUGCGCCCAAAACUACUGUGCUCGAGGGAGACAGAGGUGAGCGGAACGUAGGGUGGAGCGGUGAAAUGCGUUGAUAUCCUGAGGAACACCUGUGGCGAAAGCGGCUCACUGGGUCUCUUCUGACGCUGAGGCACGAAAGCUAGGGUAGCGAACGGG